rnacentral:rRNA from 1 species
GAUGAACGCUGGCGGCGUGCCUAAUACAUGCAAGUCGAGCGAACAGACGCGGAGCUUGCUCCUCUGACGGUAGCGGCGGACGGGUGAGGAACAAGUGGGUAACCUACCUAUAAGACUGGGAUAACUUCGGGAAACCGGAGCUAAUAACGGAUAAUAUAUUGAACCGCAUGGAUCAAUAGUGAAAGACAGGUUUUCUGUCACUUAUAGAUGGGACCGCGCCUCAUUAGCUAGUUGGUAAGGUAACGGCUUACCAAGGCAACGAUGCGUAGCCGACCUGAGAGGGUGAUCGGCCACACUGGAACUGAGACACGGUCCAGACUCCUACGGGAGGCAGCAGUAGGGAAUCUUCCGCAAUGGGCGAAAGCCUGACGGAGCAACGCCGCGUGAGUGAUGAAGGUCUUCGGAUCGUAAAACUCUGUUAUUAGGGAAGAACAAAUGUGUAAGUAACUAUGCACGUCUUGACGGUACCUAAUCAGAAAGCCACGGCUAACUACGUG